rfam:Candidate division WOR-1 bacterium RIFOXYB2_FTLL_36_35 rifoxyb2_full_scaffold_1887, whole genome shotgun sequence.
AGUACGAGAGGACCGGAAGGGACAGACCUCUAGUGUACCAGUUGUCACGCCAGUGGCAAACGCUGGGUAGCUAUGUCUGGAAGGGAUAAGCGCUGAAAGCAUCUAAGUGCUAAGCCCACCUCAAGAUUAGGUUUCGUUUGAGAUCCCUUGUAGACUACGAGGUUGAUAGGCUGGGAGUGUACGCAUAGUAAUAUGCUUAGCUGACCAGUACUAAUAGAUCGAAAUGUUCGGGCAA